rnacentral:rRNA from 1 species
UACGGGAGGCAGCAGUGGGGAAUAUUGCACAAUGGGCGCAAGCCUGAUGCAGCCAUGCCGCGUGUAUGAAGAAGGCCUUCGGGUUGUAAAGUACUUUCAGUCGUGAGGAAGGUGUUAAGGUUAAUAACCUUAGCAAUUGACGUUAGCGACAGAAGAAGCACCGGCUAACUCCGUGCCAGCAGCCGCGGUAAUACGGAGGGUGCGAGCGUUAAUCGGAAUUACUGGGCGUAAAGGGCACGCAGGCGGUUAAUUAAGUUGGAUGUGAAAUCCCCGGGCUUAACCUGGGAAUGGCAUUCAAGACUGGUUAGCUAGAGUCUUGUAGAGGGGGGUUAGAAUUCCAUGUGUAGCGGUGAAAUGCGUAGAGAUGUGGAGGAAUACCGGUGGCGAAGGCGGCCCCUGGGACAAAGGACUGACGCUCAUGUGCGAAAGCGUGGGGAGCAAAC